UGAUUCAAAACUAACUUUUAAUGCGGGUUUCUUGGAUUAUGUUGCUUUCCUAAUUAUGGAAUGCCUCCUAAACUUAUCCGAAUAAUUGCAAAUAUUAAUUCAUCUCUUCUUUCAUAUAUAUAUAUAUAUAUAUAUAUAUAUAUAUAUAUAUUUUUUUUUUAAAAAAAAAAAAAACCAAACAUUUUCUUCUUAGGUUUGAUAAAUUGGCCUUAAAAGAUAUGUGUACUCAUGGAUUAAAUUUAUAAUAUGCCUUAAAAUUGAGAUAGACAAUUAACAAUCCAACUUUAAACACCUACCAGGGGACAAAAUACAAAAUGUGCCUAACCUUACACGGUGACCGUAAAUUAUAAAGAAACACAUAUUAUACCAUGCCUUUUUUUUUUUUUUUUAAAAUUAAUUUCCAGAAAUCUUCUGUAUACUACAUAAGGUCGCCUGCAAAUGCCUUUUUUUUUUUUUUUAAUUAAUUUCCAGAAAUCUUCUGUAUACAACAUAAGGUUGCCUGCAAAUGCCUUUUUUUUUUUUUUUUUUUUUAAUUAAUUUCCAGAAAUCUUCUGUAUACUACAUAAGGUCGCCUGCAUCUUUUUUGGCUUUUAAAUCUUACUUUUUGAUAUUGGAACGGAAAAUCAAAAACUGACAAAGCAACUUAGACUAAGACAUAAGAACGCUGUGUGUCAAUGUAUAAAGCCUUAUGUUUAAUGAAAUUCCUGACAAACAGAAUAAGCUAAAAAUUAUCAGAAAAGUAAGUAAGAUCUAUGACUUAGAUCCUUUUUCACAGAUUUAAAUGUCUUGCAUGCAUGGAAGACCAAAAAAGUAUACCCUUAAGUGAGGUGACAAAAUGCUAGUUUAUAGGUCAGAAGAUUCAGAGAUUUAAAUGUGAAUACUGAAAGAAAAAGAUAAAAGGGAUGAAUGUAGAAGAACAGUGAAAAAAUUUUCAACCUGCCCAAAUCACCAGCAUGCAUUUUAUAUGGGGGGAAAAAGGUCAAGAUUAAAGCUUAAAAUACAGAUGCAGUUUCUAAAGCAAAGUUAUGCACUUAACAAAACUCAAACAACAAGCCAAAGUAUUAGGCCUCCUAUAUCUAGCAUUGCAGACACCAAUGGAUAGCAAUGUCAUAUAGCAUAGUUAAUUCAAAGAUCUUGACAAGAAGAACCACCCUUCAGCAUAAAACUUUGAGGGGUUCUUAGUAAAAUUCAUAAAAAUAAUGAAACCAAACAGUAUUGAUUACUAAUUAUUCAUCCAAAGAAAGAGAGACCUCAGCGAAAAAGAAUCAUAAAACACAAAAAAUGAGCAAAAGGGAUUGAAAAGGCUGCAAUGCUAUACUGUAUAAGAUAACGUUGGUUAUCAUAAGCUAGAAAGAUCUUGAAAUGCAAGACAUAAUUUGUUUGCUAAAAAGUAAAUAGGGAAAGAAAUGAAUUAAUUAAAGUCCCGCUUUAGACAAUCAUAUAUGGAUCCACUAGGUAGACCACACGACCUACAUAGACGACCCACCAAAUGGACCAGUACACGUAAGCCCACUAGGUCGGUCAGAAGCAUAUAUUCUAACCCUUUAGUGAAAAAGACACCAUGUUCUUGCUAAAGAGUCUAGAGAGGAACACGAACGGUCAGCUUAGUUCCACCCAAAAAAUAAAUUUCCAAAUCAAGAAUUGCAAUCAACGGGAUAUUAGAAUCCAAGGAUGAGAGGUAAAGGAAACAAACUAAAAACAACACUAGUGGAAUCAUCAAUGAGAGCCAAUGAAUUCAGACUAAAAUGCAAUGCAAUGCCAAAAAACAGAAAAAAAAGAAAAA